rnacentral:tRNA from 1 species
AAGAUGUUAGUAAAAUAUUAUAAAGCCUUGUCAUGACUUAGUUGCUAGUUAAAUCUAACACAUCUUAU